AUUUGCUGAAGAGUCCCAAACUAGGAUGAAACAGCUGUCCAGUAU
rnacentral:hammerhead_ribozyme from 1 species